UACGGAGGGUGCGAGCGUUGUCCGGAAUCAUUGGGCGUAAAGAGCGCGUAGGCGGCGCUGUACGACCCGUGUGAAAGCCCCCGGCUCAACUGGGGAGGGUCACGGGUAACGGCAGUGCUCUGAGUGCAGGAGAGGGAAGUGGAACUCCGGGAGUAGCGGUGAAAUGCGUAGAGACCCGGAGGAACACCGGUGGCGAAGGCGGCUUCCUGGUCUGCAACUGACGCUGUGGCGCGAAAGCUAGGGGAGCAAACGGG
rnacentral:rRNA from 1 species